rnacentral:rRNA from 1 species
UACGAAGGGGGCUAGCGUUGCUCGGAAUUACUGGGCGUAAAGGGCGCGUAGGCGGACAGCUUAGUCAGAGGUGAAAGCCCAGGGCUCAACCUUGGAAAUGCCUUUGAUACUGGCUGUCUUGAGUUCGGGAGAGGUGAGUGGAAUGCCGAGUGUAGAGGUGAAAUUCGUAGGUAUUCGGCGGAACACCAGUGGCGAAGGCGACUCACUGGCCCGAUACUGACGCUGAGGCGCGAAAGCGUGGGGAGCAAACAGG